UACAGAGGUCCCAAGCGUUGUUCGGAUUCAUUGGGCGUAAAGGGUGCGUAGGCGGUGAUGUAAGUUGGAUGUGAAAUCCCAGGGCUUAACCCUGGAACUGCAUUCAAUACUGCGUUGCUAGAGUACUGGAGAGGAGAUUGGAAUUCACGGUGUAGCAGUGAAAAUGCGUAGAUAUCGUGAGGAAGACCAGUGGCGAAGGCGAAUCUCUGGACAGUUACUGACGCUGAGGCACGAAGGCCAGGGGGAGCAAACGGGGAUUAGAAAACCCUGG
rnacentral:rRNA from 1 species